AAUUGUCCACUCUUUUGAGAGGAGACAGUUAUGAAACGUGAGUAGAAGGGUCGAGUGUAAAAACCUUGACGUGAAGCAAUUGGAGGGCAAGUUUUGGUGCCAGCAGCCGCGGUAAUUCCAACUCCAAGAGUGUCUAUGGUGGAUGCUGCAGUUAAAGGGUCCGUAGUCGUAGAUGCAAUUAAAAGGUGGUGUUAAAAGCCAUUGAGUUUGUUGAGAGUAGCGGAACGGAUAGGGAGCAUGGUAUAGGUGGGCAAAGAAUGAAAUCUCAAGACCCCACCUGGACCAACGGAGGCGAAAGCGAUGCUCUUAGACGUAUCUGGGGAUCAAGGACGAAGGCUAGAGUAUCGAAAGUGAUUAGACACCGCUGUAGUUCUAGCAGUAAACUAUGCCGACAAUGCUGGGUGUUGCGAGAGCGAUGCUUGG
rnacentral:rRNA from 1 species